rnacentral:lncRNA from 1 species
GGCUUGUGCGCCAGCAGGAUAUCCUGCAGCGCGCUGGCCUGGCACUGCCACCUGGGUAGUGCACUACCACUGCCUUAGGCGGCACACCACCGCUGUCGGUGAAAGAAAUUUUUCUCGCUCGUUUUUUAUGCCAGCAAUCUUUUCUCAUCUCUCUUCACCAGAUUUUUUCAUUUGGUGCGAAUCCAACUGUUCUAAAAUUCUAUAAAUUUCC